rnacentral:RNase_P_RNA from 1 species
CCAGUCGGCCGGACGGCCGCGGGUGCGCAAGCAUUCGAGGAAAGUCCGGGCUCCACGCGGAUACGGCGGCGGGUAACGCCCGCCGGAAGUAAUUCUAGGGAUAGCGCCACAGAGAAUAGACCGCCGAUGGCGUCGCAAGACGCACAGGCAAGGCUGAAACGGUGGGGUAAGAGCCCACCGCGCCGACCGUAAGGAAGGUGGCACGGCAAGCCCCGCCGGGAGCAAGACCGAAUAGGAGCACACGAGCUUCGGCUCAGGUCCGUCCGCGGAUUGUGCUCGGGUUGGUCGCGAGAACCGUGCGGCGACGCGCGGUCCAGAGGAAUGGUCGUCACCGCGCAAGCGGAACAGAACCCGGCUUACAGGCCGACUGGCAUU